rnacentral:lncRNA from 1 species
AUUGUGUGUGUGCAUGUGCGUGUGUGUGAGUGUGUGUGUGUGUGUAUGGGGGGAGGGGGAGUAGUUUGGUGACUGGGGUGUGACUGCUGUGAAUGUGAGAAAGAGAGAAGUGCAAGUCUGUGCGGUCCCUUUCAUAAACGAGAAGCUGUCUGUCUGUCAAGAUGUCCAGAGAUCCCGUGUAUGCCGUUGUAAACUACCACACAAAAGACACACCAGGUCAAUUGACCUCAGCGGAAGCAGAAACAACCGCUGAUGAUGCCACAUACUCAAACAUCCACAUGCCCGUAUCAGGGAGACCCGGACAACAUGAGGGAGACAAGGCUGCAGGGAGGCACUGUGUUAUCUACUCAAAAGUCAGUCUUCCCAAUCAAGAUGACGCUCGGCCCACUUCUGCACGUGACCCCGAUGACCCCGCUGCUCGGCCCACUUCUGCACGUGACCCCGAUGACCCCGCCCCCAUAACAGCGUCAGCGGAGAGGUUCCAGUGGAGAGUCUUUCUGAAACCCACAGUCUGGCUUCUCUUUCUCUCUGCUCUUCUGCUGCUUGUGCUCUUCACACUGGGUGUGCUCUGUAAGUACACACAAUUGUGCUCUUCACUGUAAGUACAGACACUUGUGCUCUUCACACUUGUGCUCUUCUCUG